UACGGAGGGUGCAAGCGUUAAUCGGAAUUACUGGGCGUAAAGCGUGCGCAGGCGGUGAUGCAAGACAGAUGUGAAAUCCCCGGGCUCAACCUGGGAACUGCAUUUGUGACUGCAUCGCUGGAGUGCGGCAGAGGGGGAUGGAAUUCCGCGUGUAGCAGUGAAAUGCGUAGAUAUGCGGAGGAACACCGAUGGCGAAGGCAAUCCCCUGGGCCUGCACUGACGCUCAUGCACGAAAGCGUGGGGAGCAAACAGG
rnacentral:rRNA from 1 species